rnacentral:rRNA from 1 species
GAUCCUGGCUCAGGAUGAACGCUGGCGGCGUGCUUAACACAUGCAAGUCGAGCGAAGCACUUAAGUUUGAUUCUUCGGAUGAAGACUUUUGUGACUGAGCGGCUGACGGGUAGGAGUAACGCGUGGGUAACCUGCCUCAUACAGGGGGAUAACAGUUAGAAAUGGCUGCUAAUACCGCAUAAGACCACAGUACUGCAUGGUACAGUGGUAAAAACUCCGGUGGUAUGAGAUGGACCCGCG